rnacentral:piRNA from 1 species
UUAGGAGAUGAUCAUUUUUCUUCACGCCA